GUUUAUGUAGUUUAUAAAAACAUUUUAUUUUCAUUAAAAAAAAGAUAUAAAAAUUAUCCGUAAAUU
rnacentral:tRNA from 1 species